AGAGCGAACGCUGGCGGCAGGCCUAAUACAUGCAAGUCGAACGCACCUUCGGGUGAGUGGCGGACGGGUGAGUAACACGUGGGAACGUGCCUUUUGGUUCGGAAUAAUCCGGGGAAACCUGGCCUAAUACCGGAUGUGCCCCCUCCUUUAAUCGGGAGGGUGGGAAAGAUUUAUCGCCAUUAGAGCGGCCCGCGUCUGAUUAGCUAGUUGGUGAGGUAAAGGCCCACCAAGGCUACGAUCAGUAGCUGGUCUGAGAGGAUGAUCAGCCACACUGGGACUGAGACACGGCCCAGACUCCUACGGGAGGCAGCAGUAGGGAAUCUUGCGCAAUGGGCGAAAGCCCUGACGCAGCCAUGCCGCGUGAAUGAUGAAGGUCUUAGGAUUGUAAAAUUCUUUCAGCGGGGAAGAUAAUGACUGUACCCGCAGAAGAGCUCGGCUAACUUCGCGCCAGCAGCCGC
rnacentral:rRNA from 1 species